rnacentral:rRNA from 1 species
AUUGAACGCUGGCGGCAGGCCUAACACAUGCAAGUCGAGCAGAUGAAGAGAGCUUGCUCUCUGAUUCAGCGGCGGACGGGUGAGUAAUGCCUAGGAAUCUGCCUGGUAGUGGGGGACAACGUCUCGAAAGGGACGCUAAUACCGCAUACGUCCUACGGGAGAAAGCAGGGGACCUUCGGGCCUUGCGCUAUCAGAUGAGC